rnacentral:rRNA from 1 species
UCUGGUGAUACUAGCAAGAGGGCCACACCUGUUCCCAUCCCGAACACAGAAGUUAAGCCUCUUAGCGCCGAUGAUACUGCAUAGCGGGAAAGUAGGUCAUCGCCAGAA